UUCCUUGUGGCUCAGAUGGUAAAAGUGUCUGCCUAUAAUGCAGGAGACCUGGGUUCGAUCCCUGGGUGGGGAUA
rfam:Ovis aries breed Texel chromosome 1, whole genome shotgun sequence.